GGGGUUGUAAUUUAAUGGUAAAUAUUUGCUUUGCAAGCAAGCUAUAGCAGUUCGAUUCUGCUCAACUCCA
rnacentral:tRNA from 1 species